rnacentral:rRNA from 1 species
CAGCAGCCGCGGUAAUACGAAGGGUGCAAGCGUUACUCGGAAUUACUGGGCGUAAAGCGUGCGUAGGUGGUGGUUUAAGUCCGUUGUGAAAGCCCUGGGCUCAACCUGGGAAUUGCAGUGGAUACUGGCUCGCUAGAGUGUGUCAGAGGAUGGUGGAAUUCCCGGUGUAGCGGUGAAAUGCGUAGAGAUCGGGAGGAACAUCAGUGGCGAAGGCGGCCAUCUGGGACAACACUGACGCUGAGGCACGAAAGCGUGGGGAGCAAACAGGAUUAGAGACCCCUGUAGUCCCUGUCUCUUAUAC